rnacentral:lncRNA from 1 species
ACCCCUCGAAGUAACCCGUGAUAUUGCGACGUACAAUUGUCCAUGUGAAAAAAUAGGAGACGGUAGGUAGACACCAACAUGUUCUAGCGACUGACCCUGACUCUUGUUAAUAGUCAUUGCAAAUGAGACAGAUAUCGGAAACUGCCUUCGUUUAAAUUUGAAAGGAAUUCUAUUAUCAGAUGGUGUUAGCGAUAACCUUGGAAUAAAC